UACGUAGGGUGCAAGCGUUGUCCGGAAUUAUUGGGCGUAAAGAGCUCGUAGGCGGUUUGUCGCGUCUGCUGUGAAAUCCCGAGGCUCAACCUCGGGCCUGCGGUGGGUACGGGCAGACUAGAGUGUGGUAGGGGAGACUGGAAUUCCUGGUGUAGCGGUGAAAUGCGCAGAUAUCAGGAGGAACACCUGUGGUGUAGACAGCUUACUGGACCAUAACUGACGCUGAGGCACGAAAGCGUGGGUAGCAAACAGG
rnacentral:rRNA from 1 species